AAACUUCCUACGGGAGGCAGCAGUAAGGGAAUCUUCCACAAUGGACGCAAGUCUGAUGGAGCAACGCCGCGUGAGUGAAGAAGGCUUUCGGGUCGUAAAACUCUGUUGUUGGAGAAAGAAUGGUCGGCAGAGUAACUGUUGUCGGCGUGACGGUAUCCAACCAGAAAGGCCACGGCUAACUACGUGCCAGCAGCCGCGGUAAUA
rnacentral:rRNA from 1 species